rnacentral:snRNA from 1 species
GUGCUCACUUCGGCAGCACAUAUACUAAAAAUUGGAACGCUACAGAGAAGAUUAGCAUGGCCCCUGCGCAAGGAUGACACGAAAAUUCGUGAAGCAUUCCAUAUUUUU